UAUCCAGCAGAAUCUUGUGUGUAUAAUUAAUAACUGUAGGAGCUAGCCCUCAAGCAGCUUUGCUUAUUUACAUAGAGUCUGCACACACAAACAUAAACACAAACAAGGGCUGCUUGAUCCAGUUGUACAGGCGAGAAAACUGAAACGCAGUGCAGCGGUGCAGAAUUACACUAAGUUUUCUGGGUUCCACGAUGCACAUCUGAAAUCACCACGCUGCCCUGCCUCUGGGUUAAUUCCUGACACAGCACAAUCUUUUUUUUUUGAGACAGGGUUUCUCUGUGUAGCCCUGGCUAUCCUGGAACGCACUCUGUAGACCAGGCUGGCCUCGAACUCAAAAAUCUGCCUGCCUCUGCCUCCCAAGUGCUGGGAUUACAGGUGUGAGCCCCAACGCCCAGCUGACACAGCACAAUUUAAAGAACUGUUUUGUCUGCGUCUUGGUGGUAGUGACCUUAAGUGGAGGGUUAGCAUUCCUUCAUAGAUGCUGACUCUCAAUCUUGCCAGAAAUCUGCUAAAUGUAAUGUUAAAACUUUAAGCUUAAUAUGAUAGACAGAGACCUCCAAAUCCUGACAGUCUACCCCCCAAGGUCUCUGAGAGGAUAUGGGCACAGCGACAAGGGUCUACCUGGAUUGUGGUAUAACCAUUGAGAAACACUGCUCCGUUGCUUUGCCUGCUGCCAGGGCUUGGCCUACACCGUGGACAAACAGAAGAUACCCAGAGAGUUAAAUGUCUCAUGUUGCCUAAGACAAGACACAGAUGCUCCUACUGGACCUGCUUCUUCCUGCCCACAGAUGGUUCCCCAGAUCCGGGACAGCAAGGAAACAGCUAAUGCUCCUAAGACUGGACCAACAGCAUCAUGCCAUUUCCCUAGGUUUCCCAGACACGUCGCCCCCCAAGCCAGCAGGAAAUUGUCUCAAUGGAGAGAGAAAUAAUCUACCCUUAUCUGAUGCAUGACAAGACACUGGGAGCAUGUGGGACUCAGCUGGCAGAAUGCUUGCCUGGCCGGCUGAAGCUCUGGGUUCCAAUGCAUGGUAGUGCACACUUCCAAUGCCAGCACCGGAGAGAGGCACGGGCUGAAUGAUCACAAGGUUCAAGGUCACCCUUAGCUACAGAGUGAGCUUCAGACCACUAUACAGUGGCUAUAUACUAUACUGUCAGACCACUGUACACAACAGGCUAUACAGUGAGACGCUAUCUCAAAAAAAAAAGAAAAAUAUAUUAUGGUAAACAAUGUUUAGCAGAGUAAAUGAUUACCACUUUAGUGUUUUUUCCAAUAUUUUAAUUUUUUAAAUAGUGGAUUCAAACCCCUAUUAAAGGGGAAAAAUAGACCCCACAAAACAGGGAAAAUCCAUGACAUUAAGUCCUGGAAACUUUAUUGUAUUUAAAAUACAUUAAAUACAUCAAAAAUGAUUUUUUUUAAAUGUACGUGAGUGCUCUAUCUGCAUGUACACCUGAAGGCCAGAAGAGGGCGUCAGAUCCCAUUACAGAUGGUUGUGAGCCACCAUGUGGUUGCUAGGAAUUGAACUCAGGACCUCUGGAAGAGCAGCCAGUGCUCUUAACCACUAAGCCACCUCUUCAGCCCUACAUUGUAUUCUUUGCAAUGGUAUCAUUAAGAUAGCAUAUAUACAUUUGCCAAAUUAGCUUUGAAGGUUAUUGGUAUAGAACUUCAUAGAGUCAUUAGUUCACCUAGUUUAUAAGCACUACAGCUAUUGGGGGAGCCUGUGAA